CCCCUUCUGAGCAGUGUGAAACUAAAUUAUGAGCUGAUAAAAGCUGCAGCCUUAGUGACACUGUGAGAGUCUUUUCUACUGUAAAAUCUACUCAUUUUCUAGGAUAUCAGGUGACCAGAACAUAACAAGCUUGUGACAUUAGAUAUCUAUGAUAUCUAUGCUAACAAACUGUCAGAUCUGAAGGUAGAUCAAGUCUAAAUUUCUUCUUGUGUGUCAUGUGAUCAGUAGUACAUCGGCCCUUAAAUUCAAAUGAACUUCAGAGUGAAUUUUCACUGCUGAAUUCAUGUAAGACAUGAAACCAAAAGGACUUCUCAGGUGGGAACUCGAAUUUUGAAACUUUUUAUAAGAAACCACCGAAAGGAAUCCAAGGCUGAGGCGAGUGUUUGGUGUAGAGGGAAAAUAUCAGCGGGUACACUGUGGAGUGCUGCUUCACAAAUUUCAAAAACAGUUGCAUGUUGAUCUUAAAAUAUAUGAAGAAGACAGAAGAGUUAGAAUAAUUUAUUUCUUUGUUAUCAGCAAGUCAUAAUCACAAAGUGAACACUGCUUUCACUUUGGGUCUACUGAGCACCAUGAGGAAAUUACAAACAACAACAGAGGCACAAAACAACCAGAGAGAAACACAACAACUGCAAAGAUAAAAUAAAGACACAAAGACAUGCAAGACAACUAAAAUGUACAAAACAACACAGAAAAUAAGAAUAAAGAUACAUAAUAGGAUUAAAACAAGGCAUAAAGUUAUGCAACAUAACCACAGAGACCCCAAAGUAGCCACCUAGACCAGGGGCCUAUUUCACGAAGCAGCUUUAGUGAAAACUCUGAGUUUCUUAACCCUGAAAUGAGGAAAACUCAGAGUUUUCCGUUUCACGAAGUGAGGUAACUCUAACCAGGGAAUGCGGGGUAACUCUCGCCUGUUUCACAAAGAGGGGUAACUUCAACUCUCGGUCAGUUACCGCAGUAACAGACUCUAUAACUUUAACCUGGCUAGCAGCAGGUUUAUCUGAGAAAACCUCGAGUUUCUCUCCAUCUCCGCCCUCUUUCAGCCACACACGCUGUUUCAUUUCCUCAUUCAUUCAGUCAGUAAGCGGGCGUGUUUUGGCAUAGAACAGCUUUUAUUAACGAUCCAGUGGAUAAAGGAGGCAGCAUUACUGCACAGAUAAUUAAAUAUUCGUCGGUAGAUUGUUAUCAGACCGUGCAUAAAUGUUCUCGCAUUUCCGGACAAUUAUCUGUUUGAGCGGUACCGUUUCAUAAUCGUUUCAAGUCCAUAAUCUACAUAAACAACCUAAUCCGUCCUUACAUUUACCUUACCAGCCGCAGUCAUGCUCUCACAUCCAGCAGAUAUUGUGUGUUGCGCUGCGGUUCUUUGCAAAUGGAAGUUUUUAUAUAAUGUCGGAGAUGCAGAGCACUACAGUAAGACAACUGUAUGGAGGACAGUCAGAAAAGUUUUCCUGGCCCUGAAACGACUUUUACCAUCAUUGUGGUUUUCCCUGGACAUAAACCUGUCAGAGCAUCAAGGAGGAGUUCCACAGGAUUGCAGGUGAAUGAUGUAGAGAUGUUAAAUUCAUUUUAAAUCAUAUUCUGUUAAUGACAUUGUGCUGCAACCUCAGAGUGAGAUUAGUCAUUUUAAUAUCUUUUAGGAUUUCCCAGUGUGAUUGGAUGCAUAGAUGCACAUACUUCCCCAUCACAGCUCCAUCACAUCAUGAAUAGGAAGUCCAUUCACAGCAUAAAUGUGCAGAUCAUAUGUGAUGCUGCAUACAUCAUUUCUAAUGUGGAGGCCAAGUGGUCUGGGUCUGUUCAUGACUCCAGCAUUUAUGGAGAGUCUAACCUGAGCAACAGACUGCAGCGUGGAGAGUUUGAUGGCCUUCUGCUGGGUGACAGGGGUUACCAUGACAACCCAGGCUGAUGACCUCAUACCCUGACACUGAACUAGGCCCCCAACAGAACUUCAACCGGGCUCACUGCAGGACCAGAGCCCAGGUGGAGAUGACCAUAGGCCUGCUGAAAGCCCGUUUCCAGCGCCUACGUCUCCUCAGACCCUGAGAGGGCCUGUGAUAUUACUGUGGCAUGUGUUGGUCUUCAUAAUAUUACCACUAUUAGAGGAGAGCAACACCCUGCCCUACAAACUGAACACCCAGAUGAUGAGCCCAUCCACCUGCAGCUAUCCAGGACAGCAGAGCAGUCAGAGACACCGUAUGCAAUAAUCACUUUAGAGUUUAAGUCACCAUCAUCACCAUCAUCACCACCACAGCAAAUAAAGACAUGAUACACAUUUCA